rnacentral:rRNA from 1 species
GUCUAUGGCCAUGCCACUCUGAACUAAGGCUGAUCCUUUCUGAUCUUGGAAGCUAAGCAGGGCCGGGCCUGUUAGUACUUGGAUGGGAGACCACCUAGGACGACCAGGUGCUGUAGGUU